CCUACGGGUGGCAGCAGUGGGGAAUCUUCCGCAAUGGGCGAAAGCCUGACGGAGCAACGCCGCGUGAUCGAAUGAAGGCCUUCGGGUUGUAAAGAUCUGUUGACAGGGACGAAUAAGCAAUGCAAAUAGUUUUGUGUAUGACGGUACCUGUUUAGAAAGCUCCGGCUAACUACGUGCCAGCAGCCGCGGUAAUACGGGGGAUGCAAGCGUUAUCCGGAUUUAUUGGGUUUAAAGGGUGCGUAGGCUGUGAGGUAAGUCAGCGGUGAAAUGCCCCCGCUCAACGGGGUGAAGUGCCAUUGAUACUGCCUUGCUGGAAUGCGGAUGCCGUGGGAGGAAUGUGUGGUGUAGCGGUGAAAUGCAUAGAUAUCACACAGAACACCGAUUGCGAAGGCAUCUCACGAAUCCGCGAUUGACGCUGAUGCACGAAAGCGUGGGUAUCAAACAGGAUUAGAUACCCCGGUAGUC
rnacentral:rRNA from 1 species